CAGUCGCCGCGGGAAUACGUAGGGUGCGAGCGUUAAUCGGAAUUACUGGGCGUAAAGCGUGCGCAGGCGGUUCGUUAAGACAGAUGUGAAAUCCCCGGGCUUAACCUGGGAACUGCAUUUGUGACUGGCGAGCUAGAGUAUGGCAGAGGGGGGUAGAAUUCCACGUGUAGCAGUGAAAUGCGUAGAGAUGUGGAGGAAUACCGAUGGCGAAGGCAGCCCCCUGGGCCAAUACUGACGCUCAUGCACGAAAGCGUGGGGAGCAAACAGGAUUAGAGACCCGAGUAGUCCCUGUCUCUUAUAC
rnacentral:rRNA from 1 species